UCAGAAGGACUGUGCGGUUACAGCAGGUCACCCCAUCUCCAGUGCUGUGUGGGACCUUUGGCAGAGCUUCAAUAGGGCUCACAAUGUGUCUGGGCCGUCCGCCAGAAGAAAUGUCCACUAAAUCUGAAUGUACAAAGUCCUUCACUAGGAUAUCUGAACAAAAUGAACAGAAUCUUGUGAUAUAAGGUCUUCUUUGUACCCUUGGUUUGGUGACACUCUGAGAAACCAAGAUGAACAUUCAGAAGCAGCUUUUGUGCCCUAUUAGAGUUCUCAGAAGACAUUUUCCAUUAAGUAAUUAUAGAGAAAAUUAAGGGUCAACUCAAAAAUGGGGAGGGCAAUGUUAAAGACAAGAAUGGCAAUUUUCAAAGCUGCAUAAAGUGACAAAUUCUUCAGGAACUGAGGAGGAACAGAUUUGGGAAAGUUGAAUGAUUUUCCUCAGAAUAAUAAGAGAAGCAAGGUGACACAGAGGGAUCUUCUCUGAGCCUGUCCAUAGGCAGCUCCAUCUUUAAUUCAGAGCAGGAUUAUUUGUAAUUUUAAUUGUUCAGGAUA